AUUACUGAGUACUACACUCUCUACCCUUUUGGAACUAUUAUACCUGUUGCUUCGGCGGCGCCCGCAAGGGUGCCCGCCGGUCUCAUCAGAAUCUCUGUUUUCGAACCCGACGAUACUUCUGAGUGUUCUUAGCGAACUGUCAAAACUUUUAACAACGGAUCUCUUGGCUCCAGCAUCGAUGAAGAACGCAGCGAAACGCGAUAUGUAAUGUGAAUUGCAGAAUUCAGUGAAUCAUCGAAUCUUUGAACGCACAUGGCGCCUUCCAGUAUCCUGGGAGGCAUGCCUGUCCGAGCGUCGUUUCAACCCUCGAGCCCCUGUGGCCCGGCGUUGGGGAUCUGCCACGGCAGGCCUCUAAAACCAGUGGCGGACCCGAAGGGCCCUCUCCUUUGCGCAGUAGCAUUCGCCUCGCAUUGGGAGUCCUCGGCGUCCUGCCUCUAAACCCCCCACAAGCCCGCUUCGGCGGCACCAAGGUUGACCUCGGAUCAGGUAGGAAUAC
rnacentral:rRNA from 1 species